rnacentral:rRNA from 1 species
GAUGAACGCUAGCGGCAGGCUUAACACAUGCAAGUCGAGGUGUAACAGGGAAGAGCUUGCUUUUCCGCUGACGACCGGCGCACGGGUGCGUAACGCGUAUAGAACCUACCUUUUACAGGGGAAUAGCCCAGAGAAAUUUGGAUUAAUGCCCCAUAGUAUUAUUGAAUGGCAUCAUUUAAUAAUUAAACAUUUAUGGGUAAAAGAUGGCUAUGCGUUCUAUUAGCUAGAUGGUAAGGUAACGGCUUACCAUGGCAACGAUAGAUAGGGGUCCUGAGAGGGAGAUCCCCCACACUGGUACUGAGACACGGACCAGACUCCUACGGGAGGCAGCAGUGAGGAAUAUUGGACAAUGGAGGCAACUCUGAUCCAGCCAUGCCGCGUGCAGGAAGACGGUCCUAUGGAUUGUAAACUGCUUUUAUAUAGGAAGAAACCUUUCCACGUGUGGAAAGCUGACGGUACUAUAAGAAUAAGCACCGGCUAACUCCGUGCCAGCAGCCGCGGUAAUACGGAGGGUGCAAGCGUUAUCCGGAAUCAUUGGGUUUAAAGGGUCCGUAGGCGGACUAAUAAGUCAGGGGUGAAAUCCAACAGCUUAACUGUUGAACUGCCUUUGAUACUGUUAGUCUUGAGUUAUAUGGAAGUAGAUAGAAUAUGUAGUGUAGCGGUGAAAUGCUUAGAGAUUACAUAGAAUACCGAUUGC